GGUGAUGAUGGCAGAGAGGUCACACCCGUUCCCAUACCGAACACGGAAGUUAAGCUCUCUAGCGCCGAUGGUAGUUGGGACCUUGUCCCUGUGAGAGUAGGACGUUGCCAGGCUU
rnacentral:rRNA from 1 species